GAGGAAUAUUGCGCAAUGGGCGAAAGCCUGACGCAGCAACGCCGCGUGAGGGACGAAGGCCUUCGGGUCGUAAACCUCUUUUCUGAGGGAAGAGACAAGGACGGUACCUCAGGAAUAAGUCUCGGCUAACUACGUGCCAGCAGCCGCGGUAAAACGUAGGAGGCGAGCGUUAUCCGGAUUUACUGGGCGUAAAGCGCACGCAGGCGGGUCGGCAAGUUGGAUGUGAAAGCUCCUGGCUUAACUGGGAGAGGCCAUUCGAGACUACCGGGCUUGAGGUUGGGAGAGGGGUGUGGAAUUCCCGGUGUAGUGGUGGAAUGCGUAGAUAUCGGGAGGAGCACCAGUGGCGAAAGCGGCACCCUGGCCCACACCUGACGCUGAGGUGCGAAAGCGUGGGGAGUAAAC
rnacentral:rRNA from 1 species